rnacentral:rRNA from 1 species
UACAGAGGUGGCAAGCGUUGUUCGGAAUUACUGGGCGUAAAGGGCGCGUAGGCGGUCUUGCAAGUCCUGUGUGAAAUCCCUCGGCUCAACUGAGGAACUGCACAGGAAACUGCUUGGCUUGAGUUCGGGAGAGGGAAGCGGAAUUCCAGGUGUAGCGGUGAAAUGCGUAGAUAUCCGGAGGAACACCGGUGGCGAAGGCGGCUUCCUGGACCGACACUGACGCUGAGGCGCGAAAGCUAGGGGAGCAAACAGG